rnacentral:rRNA from 1 species
AUUGAACGCUGGCGGCAGGCCUAACACAUGCAAGUCGAACGCGUGGCGGACGGGUGUGUAAUGUCUGGGAAACUGCCUGAGGGAGGGGGAUAACUACUGGAAACUGUAUAUAAUACCGCAUACCAUCAGAUGCGCCCAGAUGGGAUUAGCUAGUUGGGGGGGUAACGGCGCACCAAGGCGACGAUCCCUAGCUGGUCUGAGAGGAUGACCAGCCACACUGGAACUGAGACACGGUCCAGACUCCUACGGGAGGCAGCAGUGGGGAAUAUUGCACAAUGGGCGCAAGCCUGAUGCAGCCAUGCCGCGUGUAUGAAGAAGGCCUUCGGGUUGUAAAGUACUUUCAGCAGGGAGGCGUUACCCGCAGAAGAAGCACCGGCUAACUCCGUGCCAGCAGCCGCGGUAAUAC